GCGCUAUGUCGGCAGGAGUGAAUCGUGGAAAUAGAACCAGUGUCACUGGGGCCUCUUUCAGCCAAUUAUCUUCUACCAUCUUGCUUCCUUUAACUGUAAUGACCUUUCAGUGAAGCUAAGCAAAUGGGUCCCCAGAGGAUGGUGCUCCUUCUUCAGCCUGUAGUAGGGGGAGGACAUAUGGCAGCAGGCCCAGCUCCCAGAGCUGAUCCCCAAGACGCCAGCCCAGACUGUGCCUGACCUCCAUGGGGAUGGAGUCACUGACCUCAUUCUAAUUGGAAUAAACCAAGCACAGUAUUGGAACUGGUCUUCGGCAAUGGAAGAUGACAUAAAAUGGGUCCACAAGAGCACAAGUGAGGUCAAGUAUCCAUAUUGAGAAAGACCCUAUGUUAAGUUAUGUAUGUGUGCAUUUCCAUGCUGCACAGACCCAGCUGGUGCUCCUCUCUGAAAAGGCAGGCUCUGAUUGGAUCAGAUGUGCUUCACGAUUCAGCCAAUGUAUCUGGUCAUCUCCUGCACACCACAGCCAAAGCCUCUCACUAUGUGCUGCAGCAGAAGACGAUCAUGGUCGGGACAGGCCAUCCUGCCAGUAACAGAGCCUGUGGGGGCGGGGGCACGCAGCACUGUGACCCUCACUAAGUGGCAGCUCAGAGAGGAUGUGGGAGGGACCGAUGGGAGAUCAGGGAAGCUUUUCUCAGACUCAGCUUCAACACAGACGCUUCACAGGUCUGUGGGCUUUAAGCCGACAGUCUGAAGGCUGGGAGUCAGGCUUCACUUUCAGCCUCGACUCAUUUAUCUCCUGAAUACGUCACAUCCUACCAGCUAACGUCCUGUGCGGCGCGGAGAGGAAAAGGCCAAAGUAGCACCUUCCUGUGUCACCCCCCCCGACACGCCUGCCGCCAAUCCCAGCAUGCACCAUCGUAGGAUGCCUGUGUGCUGUCUCUGUUCUCUGCUGGAAUGCGCUGGGCUCCACUGCAGAGCUCCCCUCCCCAGUCCCAGACACGAUGACGGAUUCACACGCUCAGCACGGACCAUGAGCUGACAGCGCUCCUACCCUGAGAUAUUAAUAGCAUCUUCUGAUAUAAAAAUGUAAUGAAACUUUCAUUCUCUCAUAGUAUUUAUUAAUACAUAAUUUGUCAAAAGUAGAAGAGCCAAAUCCAGUAACGUUACACCAAGUGACCAAAGUGGAUGCUGAUUUUUUUUCAGUGAUUGAUAUUGCAGAAAAAAUAAUCUUUUGGUUUUGGGGCACAAAGGCAUGAAAGAUUUUACUUUUAUUAAAGAAAUAAAAUUUUACAUUUAUUAGUGACCUAAUGUUCCUUUCAGCAUUUAAUGGAGGGAUCAUGUAGAUUUUGUAACAGUACUCAUUUUAUGUGGCUGCUUUGGAUGGAACAAAAGAGAGAGAGAGCGUACCAGCUCAG